rnacentral:lncRNA from 1 species
GGAGAAACCAUCCACUCGCAGGGUUACAGGGCGGCCUUGCUCAUUUCCUGCAAAGAUUCUUGCUUUCUCCAAAGAGCACUCAUUCGCCAGAAGGAAAUGAAGAGAAAAAGAGGAAAGGAACCUUGGAGGAACAUAGGAAUCGGGUAGCUUAUUAAGACCCAACAUGUUUGGAGCUAGGAGACUCUUCCUCGGGGGCACCUGAACCAAUUUCUUCAGAGGAGCUAGGUAAAAAGUCUAACUCUAGCCUCUAACAUGUACAGUGAUGAUCUCAGCUAAUAAUAUAAUAAUGAUUAUUUAUUAUUUAUACCCUGCCCAUCUGGCUGGGUUUCCCCAACCACUCUGGGAGGCUCCCAGCAGAAUAUUAAAAACAUGGUAAAAUAUCAAACAUGAAAAACUUCCUUAAACAGAGCUGCCUUCAGAUGUCUUCUAAAAGUCGGAUUGUUGUUUACUUCCUUGACAUCUGAUGCGAGGGCAUUCCACAGUGAGGGCACCACUACCGAGAAGGCCCUCUGCCUGGUUCCCUAUAAGCUCACUUCUCGCAGAAAGUCCUUGGAGCUGGACCUCAGUGUCUGGGCUGAAUGAUGGGAAUGGAGAUGCUCCUUCAGGUAUCCUAGGCUGAGGCCAUUUAGGGCUUUAAAGGUCAGCGCCAACACUUUGAAUUGUGCUCAGAAACGUACUGGGAGCCAAUGUAGGUCUUUCAGGACCGGUGUUAUAUAGUCCCAGCAGCCACUCCCAGUCACCAGUCUAGCUGCCGCAUUCUGGAUUAGUUGUAGUUUCCGAGUCACCUUCAAAGGUAGCCCCACGUAGAGCGCAUUGCAGUAGUCCAAGCGGGAGAUAACUGGAGCAUGUUAUUGGACUACCACCCCCAUCAGUCCAAGGCCACAUGGCUCACUGCUGAUAAGAGUUGUAGUCUACUAAUAUUUGGAGGGCACUAUCCCUGCCCUAUAAAGUGUUGGCUCCAGGUGUUGGAGAGACCUCGGUGUGAUGUUCUCGGUGUCCCCCUCUCCAUCGAAUGGUCCAUCUCCCUCAAUCUUUCCACCACCCAUUCACUUGCUUCUCUCUCUUGGCUCUAUUAAGUAGGAACCAAUGCGCCACCUCUCAGAGAGCAAAGUCAACGUGUACUGGGGUUGCUGCUCAUUUUCCUCACUGCUCAUUCACUCGCACCAGGUUGGUUAACAAGCAGCAGCGGCAAGAAAGAAAAGCCAAUGUAUAAGGAGGAUCCCCAGAGAUUGGUGGUGGGGCCUUCACUAGACAAGCAAAUGGGCCAAUCUAUCCAUUUCCAGUCUUAAAUCCAUUUCCAGUCUUAAAUCUCACUUCAGUUUGAGAUAUUAUUUUAAAACGUCCUCAGGAAUAUUCACCAGCAUUUUAAUUUCUCCCAGUGUGGUAUCACAUGGAUAUUUCAGUAUCAGAUUGGGAACUUUGUAAGGCAAAACAUAUUAAGGAAUAAACAACUAGAAACCCAACAAGAUUUUGAAAUAUAUAUAUUAUUAUAAGACUGAGAAGAAAAUGAAAAAGGAUGACUAUCCAGGCUGUAUAAGCAUUUAACAAAAGAGGACAAGGGGGACACAAAUGGAUUGAAAAGCAUAUGAGAAAAAGAUUGGGGUAUAAAAAGAAUCAGUGGGAAUGUAUAUGGGAUAAAUGUCCAUAUAUGGCUAUGGCAGCAAAGCUCAGGGAGACUUCCCUCAAAUUUAUUCAAAAAUGGUAUCUGAUACCUUUAAGGUUGUCACAAAUGUUUAAGAAUAAUGCCUACACUUUCAGGAGAGGAUGUUGAGAAUGAGAUCUGAAAUAAAAAUUACACCUGUUUCUGUGCCAUUUCCCCUGAUAUAUACAUUUCUGCAAAGCAUUUUUGCAUAUUGUUUUCAUUCAUAUAUGCAUUUCAAUGCAUGCUUUACCUUAGUAUAUGCAUUUUGUACCUAUUACUUGACUGAAGAACCACACUGCAGAGUUUAGAGACGUGGAGGUUUCGAAGGAUAUCUGUGUUUGGCUUCGUGUAUUGUUUCCGAAAGUGUGAAUCAGGCAAGUUUUCGUUUAAAUACAAACUGAAUUGGAUUUAUCUCCCAUUCCUACACCAGAGUAAGGGCCUCAGUAGAUGCCCAGCAAUGCUAGUUGCCACAAACACAAACACAUAGGCCAUGUAUGACUGUUUCUGACGAAUGCAUAUAUCCUAGUAAAUUCAUUCAUUAUUUGAUGUGACCGGCCAACAAGAACUGUUAGACUGGUUUCUGUUAGACUGGUUUCAUUCGGCGUCGUGCUGCAACUUUGCUUUCUCUCCGCAUGAAGAAACGAGUUAGACGCCGAAGGAUUAAAAAAUCAAACUCAGUCCAUCUCCCCCAAUCCCAUACUUCUCAAGGGUCUUCAAAUAAGAGAGUGGAGCCGAAGUUAACCACAUUCCUCUUCUCUACUUAACAUUCCAAGAGUUUCAGGGCUUUUUAAAGAGCUCUUCUGGCAUCUUUUGUUUAUUAUUUGUUCUGCCUUGACCUUUUCCAGUGUUUAGAAGGCAGGUCAGACCAUGCUGGAUGGUCCAACGUAGCAGCCUUCUUCAGAUAUUCCAAAAGCAUGCCAGAUCAGUUUGCACUGCAGGGCAAAAUUGCUCUCCCUUCAGCUUGUAUUGUGUGGUUUUACAUGUAUGCAUGCUGAAGUAUCCUGUAUUUUUCAGGGUGCCUCUUAAUAGCUUGCUAGGUUGCCAGUGCUUAUGCUCUUUUCGUAUAUCAUUUGGAUUAAAGGUGGAGAUAGUGGACGUGAUCCUGUUUCCCUUGUAGCAGGAACCCCCCCCCCCCAUCUCCAGUUUGUACAAACUUCACUCAUACUUACACUCACACACUACAUACGCUACACUUCUGUUAUAAAUUCAUAGAAAAUCAACCAUACAUCGGAUUUGCACUGUUCCACUUUUAUUUUACUCCAUGAAGGAAGGACUACAAAAUGGGGAAUGUUUGAUACAGGCCAGCCCAGCACAUCCACAGGAGCCCUGCCCAGUUGCUAUGCCAACCCUGAUGGUCCUAGACAGAAGACAACCAAGAUCACAAAGAACUUGCAUAUGGGAGUGGAUUCAGCAUGGACUGGAACAAAGGACAAUGAUCAGAUCUUCCCUAAGGGGGCAGGAAACUGCGACUACCUUUUGUCUUCAGAAAAUGACUCAUGGGGAGGGGGAGAAGGGAACCAGCCAGGUGACAGGACACUCAGGUGACCACCACAACUCCUCCCUCAACCCCUCCUUUCUGUAAUGUAUGCAUGAUGUUUCUGGGGGUGGGCUUGACCUAGCCGAUGGGAAUUUCAAAAGUUUUUAUAAGGUCUUGCACACCAUUUUUCUGUGUCUUUCCUCUCUCCUGCAAGUGAGGGGAACACCCUGUUGCAACAGUUCAAUAAAGGCCAAGCCUACAGGCUGCUGUUUUGCUCCAA